AUUGAACGCUGGCGGCAUGCCUUACACACGCAAGUCGAACGGCAGCACGGGAGCAAUCCUGGUGGCGAGUGGCGAACGGGUGAGUAAAGUAUCGGAACGUGCCCAGUCGUGGGGGAUAACGUAGCGAAAGUUACGCUAAUACCGCAUACGAUCUAUGGAUGAAAGCGGGGGAUCGCAAGACCUCGCGUGAUUGGAGCGGCCGAUAUCAGAUUAGGUAGUUGGUGGGGUAAAGGCUCACCAAGCCGACGAUCUGUAGCUGGUCUGAGAGGACGACCAGCCACACUGGGACUGAGACACGGCCCAGACUCCUACGGGAGGCAGCAGUGGGGAAUUUUGGACAAUGGGCGAAAGCCUGAUCCAGCCAUGCCGCGUGCAGGAUGAAGGCCUUCGGGUUGUAAACUGCUUUUGUACGGAACGAAAAGGUUUGGCCUAAUAAGCUGAGCUCAUGACGGUACCGUAAGAAUAAGCACCGGCUAACUACGUGCCAGCAGCCGCUGUAA
rnacentral:rRNA from 1 species